GAGAGUUGUGUGCGCAACAACAAGUAAAAUGAUGGAGGAAGGGAGGCAAAAGUAAAGUCAAGGAGAAGGGGAGGAUAAAAGGAGCAUUGCGCACUAGAAGAGGGAAGAAGGGGAAGAAAUGCGACAGAGGGGAUGGGUAAUUGCUUUCAAGUGUUGAAUGUUGAAUGGGUCAGUUAAAAAUAAAAGCAGUCAAAAGAUUCUUUGUGGUUCUAACAGAGGCACAAUUUGAAUAAUAAAAAAAAAAUAGGGAGAUGCAUGUGAGACUGGUGAGGUGCAGGGAGAAACACUCAACAAUCUAUUCACUCUCUAAUCUCCUCAAAUUCAUCUACUCACUCUCCCAAAUCAAUCCUCUAAAGUGAACACACCCUUAGUAUCCAUUAUACAAAAAUCUCAACCAAUCAUCCAUUUAGUCUAUUUAAAUAAUUCUAAUUCUUUUAUACAAUUUGUUUCAAAAUUAUUUUAAACCCAACCAAAUCGAUUAAACUCAUGCACAUAAAUUAAUUAAUACUCACACAAACCUUAAACCUACAUUAAUGA
rnacentral:lncRNA from 1 species